CACCAACAGAUACUUACUACACAAAACUUAGACAAAAGCUGUGGAUGUCCGUUCUGACCCUGAGUCAAUUGAUCAUGAGUCAAAUUCUAUUAAUUUUAAUUGCCUCUUUGCCAUAUGUUCAUGGCAUCUCACUGACCUUGUCACCUGUACAGAUUAAAGCUCCUGGUGAAUCAGUGAGGUUGUUCUGUCAGAUCUCUGGAUAUUCCCUCAGUGAUUAUGGCACAGCAUGGCUCAGACUUACUUCUGGAAAAGGCAUGCAGUGGAUCGGGUUCAUAUGGGGUGGUGGAUCAAUAGACUCUGGAAAUUCCUUCAAGAGUCGCUUCACUAUAUCCAGAGACACAAACCGUAAUCAGCUGUAUUUAGACAUCAGCAGUCUGCAGACUGAGGACACAGCUGUGCAUUACUGUGCAAAGACUGCUGCACUGGCUCAUCUCAGUGUGAGAAACUGGCAGAAACACAUCUGCUGUACAUUUCAUCCAUGUGUGCAAAGCAUUCACAAUUAUCUACACACCUGUUCUGUUCCAAACAAUAACUGUAGUAUAUUAUAUGAAUAA